rnacentral:rRNA from 1 species
UUAGGUCGACCCGCUGAAUUUAAGCAUAUCAUUAAGCGGAGGAAAAGAAACUAACAAGGAUUCCCUUAGUAGCGGCGAGCGAAGAGGGAAAAGCCCAGAACCGAAUCCUGCAGAGCAAUCUGCUAGGAAAUGUGGUGUUUGGUUCAAUUCCUACGGCAUACUAAACUGUUCUAAGUCCACGUGAUUGUGGCAUCAAGCCCAAAGAGGGUGUAAGGCCCGUCUGAACAGUGGAGUUUGUCCAGGAUUUGUUCCUAGAGUCGGGUUGUUUGGGAAUGCAGCCCAAAUCGGGUGGUAAACUCCAUCCAAGGCUAAAUACAACACGAGUCCGAUAGCGAACAAGUACCAUGAGGGAAAGUUGAAAAGAACUUUGAAGAGAGAGUUCAACAGUGCGUGAAAUCGCUCAGUGGUAAACAGGCAGAGCUGAAGAUGGGCAAGCGUAUUGGAGUUUUAUUAGUGCUGUUUUUUGACUUGGCGAUCUCAUUUAGGACGUCGGUCAGAAAGCGUGUAUUGAUAUUGCUCUGUUGCGCUAGUCCAACACUACGAUGGGUAGAUAGAAUAGCCUGUCAUUCAUGAAAGGUAGCUCUAAACUUGUUUAGAGUGUUACAGUCACGGAUUGCAGCGCUUUUCGAGUACCGUUUUGCAUUUAUCAAUGGAGUUUGAUAUGAUUUGUUUAAUAUAGAGCAUUCAGUGUGUAUCAUUUAAAGAUAUGCAUUGUAUGUCUUUCUUUUAAAUGAGUCCUCUGUCGGCUUCAGCAAAGUCGUAGUGCAACGGUAGGUAUCUGCCUGACCCGUCUUGAAACACGGACCAAGGAGUUUAGCUCAUACGCGAGUCAUGGGGUUUUACGAAACCUAAAGGCGCAGUGAAAGUAAAGGCAUGUCUUUUCAUGCUUAGGUAGGAUCCUGGAUGUAAUGUGGACUAUUUCCGCAUGCACUGGGCGCACUACCAGCUCGUCUCAUGCUUUUUAAGCGAGGCGAAGCAAGAGCGUAUGGACUGAGACCCGAAAGAUGGUGAACUAUGCUUGUGUAGGUUGAAGCCAGAGGAAACUCUGGUGGAGGACCGUAGCGAUUCUGACGUGCAAAUCGAUCGUCAAACAUGAGUAUAGGGGCGAAAGACUAAUCGAACCAUUUAGUAGCUGGUUCCCUUCGAAGUUUCCCUCAGGAUAGCUGGCGCUCGGGAACAAAGCAGUUUUAUCCGGUAAAGCGAAUGAUUAGCAGUAUUGGGGAUGAAAUAUCCUCAACUGAUUCUCAAACUUUAAAUGGGUGAGAAGCUUAACUCGCUUAAAUUUGGAGUUAGGCAUUGAAUGUGAGUGCCAAGUGGGCCAUUUUUGGUAAGCAGAACUGGCGAUGUGGGAUGAACCAAACGUCUGGUUACGGUGCCAAACAUGACGCUCAUGAGAAACCACAAAAGGUGUUGGUUGAUUUUGACAGCAGGACGGUGGCCAUGGAAGUCGGAAUCCGCUAAGGAAUGUGUACAACUCACCUGCCGAAUCAACCAGCCCUGAAAAUGGAUGGCGCUUGAGCGUUGGACCUAUACCAGACCGUUACUACAAGAGCAUGGUAUGUAGUAACGAGUAGAAGGGCGACUUGGUAAGCAUUGAAGCUUUGAUCGUAAGAUCAGGUGGAGCUGUCAAGUGUGCAGAUCUUGGUGGUAGUAGCAAAUAUUCAAGUGAGAACCUUGAAGACUGAUGUGGAGAAGGGUUCCUGGUGAACAGC